CAGAGACACAAACGUAAGUGGGAUAGUUAAGGAGAUGAUGGGAGACAAAGACAUCACCAAAACACACAAAGGGCGAGGGGGACUUGACAGAUGUGACACUAUAAGGCUUUGGAGUUGACAUCACGCCGCAAUGCAUUGUGGGAGUGCGGCGCCAUUUUCGGGGUCUACGAAUCAAAACAAACACACUGUGUUGGAACGACGACUACAAGAUGCUUAAAAGCAGCUCAAAAGAGAAUGAACUGUAUAGAGACCGAUUUCAUUCAGAGGCGACGCGGCGGUACUUGCAGAAAAUAGCGUGCAUUGGAAAUGUGGACCCGUAUGAAACACGGCCGUGGAGUAGAAACCCUGAAGACCGUAGCCUGACAUAUUCUCGUACCUUGUCAGCGCGUACAAGUCGUCAUUCAAACAAAGUGAUGACAUCCUUGCAUUACAUCCUUUAGAUUCAUUUUCUGCAGGCAGGUUUUUGACAGAGAACAGGCAGGUUUACACUAUAACCUGCAGCGUUCUAUAGAUGGACACAUAAAGAAAUGAAAAAUGACAUGUAUGUGCUAACUUUCUAAACACUUUGUUACAUUUAUGAUAAAGUAGAUAAAACACAUUUACGUCGGCCUUGGCUCAUAGUUCUUGUCUUUAAAUGAACUUUGUCUGAGUGUGUUUCAGGUGCUGCACUCUCAAAGACUGAAUGAACCAGCAUUGCAGCCAUGGGUCACUGUGAGCAUCACAGGGAAGGUUGAAGCCGCCCGCUGCAGCUGUAUGGCCGGAGUCGCGGAGACCUGGACCCACGUCACUGCUCUUCUGUUUAAUGUAGAAGCAACAGUGUUGAUCCGUGGCACAAGGACUGUUACAGAUGAACCUGCAUACUGGGUUUUUCUGGGUAAUAUGACCAAGAUACAGCCAGAGGUUGGCCAUAAGAUAGACUUCUCCUCUUCAGCUGCCCAAAAAAGGCUCUUAUUCAAAACAUUCACAGACCAUCUGUAGUGACAGGUAAAAGGAGCCGUCCUCAAAACAGAAACCUCCCACCUGCUACUGUGGAGGAGUCGUCACUGCUAUAAUGCCAUCAUGUUUUAUCUAGGGGUCUAGAUUUAUGCCUGUAGUGCACUGC
ensembl:lncRNA